UACGGAGGAUGCAAGCGUUAUCCGGAAUGAUUGGGCGUAAAGCGUCCGCAGGUGGCAUUGAAAGUCUGCUGUUAAAGAGUCUGGCUCAACCAGAUAAAGGCAGUGGAAACUACAAAGCUAGAGUACGGUAAGGGCAGAGGGAAUUUCCGGUGGAGCGGUGAAAUGCGUAGAGAUCGGAAAGAACACCAACGGCGAAAGCACUCUGCUGGGCCGACACUGACACUGAGAGACGAAAGCUAGGGGAGCGAAUGGG
rnacentral:rRNA from 1 species